AAACUUUCAACAACGGAUCUCUUGGUUCUGGCAUCGAUGAAGAACGCAGCGAAAUGCGAUAAGUAAUGUGAAUUGCAGAAUUCAGUGAAUCAUCGAAUCUUUGAACGCACAUUGCGCCCCAUGGUAUUCCGUGGGGCAUGCCUGUUCGAGCGUCAUUG
rnacentral:rRNA from 1 species